CGCUUCAAUUUUGUUCAUUGUGGACGAAUUUGAUCACAAUAGGAUCGAUCAAUAUUGAUGACGUUCUUAAUCCUAUUCUCUGACGAAAUACCUAGGAAAAUCAUUAGGAAUCAUAAAAGAUAUUUCCGGCAUCUUUUGGAACCACAAGUACAGGGAAUUUUUUCAUCUUCAAUAGGAAAUUUAUAAUUAUAGCUGGAUGAACAUUCUGAAGUGAACCAUCUAUUUCUUCAAAAACCUCUGCUGACCACAGAGCACAAUUUAUGUGUACCCAAUCAUUUUGACCACAAUAAAUUAAUCGUCCACAU